rnacentral:rRNA from 1 species
GACGAACGCUGGCGGCGUGCCUAAUACAUGCAAGUUGAGCGAUGAAGAUUGGUGCUUGCACCAAUUUGAAGAGCAGCGAACGGGUGAGUAACGCGUGGGGAAUCUGCCUUUGAGCGGGGGACAACAUUUGGAAACGAAUGCUAAUACCGCAUAAUAACUUUAAACAUAAGUUUUAAGUUUGAAAGAUGCAAUUGCAUCACUCAAAGAUGAUCCCGCGUUGUAUUAGCUAGUUGGUGAGGUAAAGGCUCACCAAGGCGAUGAUACAUAGCCGACCUGAGAGGGUGAUCGGCCACAUUGGGACUGAGACACGGCCCAAACUCCUACGGGAGGCAGCAGUAGGGAAUCUUCGGCAAUAGACGAAAGUCUGACCGAGCAACGCCGCGUGAGUGAAGAAGGGUUUCGGAUCGUAAAACUCGGUUGGUAGAGAAGAACGUUGGUGAGAGUGGAAAGCUCAUCAAGUGACGGUAACUACCCAGAAAGGGACGGCUAACUACGUG